AGUGAACGCUGGCGGUAGGCCUAACACAUGCAAGUCGAACGGCAGCACAGGAGAGCUUGCUCUCUGGGUGGCGAGUGGCGGACGGGUGAGGAAUACAUCGGAAUCUACCUUUUCGUGGGGGAUAACGUAGGGAAACUUACGCUAAUACCGCAUACGACCUACGGGUGAAAGUGGGGGACAGCAAGGCCUCACGCGAUUAGAUGAGCCGAUGUCCGAUUAGCUAGUUGGCGGGGUAAUGGCCCACCACGGGGACGAUCGGUAGCUGGUCUGAGAGAAUGAUCGGCCCCACUGGAACGAGGACGCGGUCCAGACUCCUACGGGAGGCGGCAGUGGGGAAUAUUGGUCAAUGGGCGCAAGCCUGAACCAGCCAUAACGCGUGAGUGAAGAAGGCCUUCGGGUUGUGAAGCCCUUUUGUUGGUAAAGAAAUCCUGUCGGUUAAUACUCGGUGGGGAUGACGGUACCCAAAGAAUAAGCACCGGCUAACUUCGUGCCAGCAGCCGCGGUAACAC
rnacentral:rRNA from 1 species